GGGCUCACUUUGGCAGCACAUGUACUAAAAUUGGAACGAUACAGAGAAGGAUGGCAUGGCCUGUAUUCAAGGAUGACAUGCAGAUUCAUGAAAUAUUCCAUACUUUC
rnacentral:snRNA from 1 species